AUUGAACGCUGGCGGCAUGCUUUACACAUGCAAGUCGAACGGCAGCGCGGGCUUCGGCCUGGCGGCGAGUGGCGAACGGGUGAGUAAUGCAUCGGAACGUGCCCAGUAGUGGGGGAUAGCCCGGCGAAAGCCGGAUUAAUACCGCAUACGACCUGAGGGUGAAAGCGGGGGACCGAAAGGCCUCGCGCUAUUGGAGCGGCCGAUGUCGGAUUAGCUAGUUGGUGGGGUAAAGGCUUACCAAGGCGACGAUCCGUAGCUGGUCUGAGAGGACGACCAGCCACACUGGGACUGAGACACGGCCCAGACUCCUACGGGAGGCAGCAGUGGGGAAUUUUGGACAAUGGGGGCAACCCUGGUCCAGCCAUGCCGCGUGCGAGAAGAAGGCCUUCGGGUUGUAAACCGCUUUUGUUCGGGAAGAAAUCCUCUGGGCUAAUACCCCGGGGGGAUGACGGUACCGGAAGAAUAAGCACCGGCUAACUACGUG
rnacentral:rRNA from 1 species